UGACAUGAUUUGGUCUUUUACUUAAGAAGAUGUUUGUCCUCCUGUGUUGUCUUAUUUCCUUAUCUUUCUUUCAGGUGUAACAUCUACCAAUGGUUGUACAUGACAGAGACCUCCUCCGCCUCUUUGCUGUCUUACUAGUCAAUCCUUCUGAUCAGGUCCUUUCCUAAAUAGUGAAAGGAUCAUGCCAGCCCACAUCAAACACCUGAUCAAGAGCUUGUGAACCUCACUGCUGCAGACACCUGUGUGAUAUUCCACUCUGACUGGAACCCUCAAAAUGACCUGCAGGCUCAAGCUCGGUUCGUCAUUGUUUUGGCCAGUCUAAGGCGGUGGAGGUGUACCGUCUGAUCACUAGAAACUAUGAGAGGAAAAUGCUGGAUAAAGCUAGUCUGAAGCUCGGGCUGGACCGUCCCGUCCUGCAGAGCAUGAGUGGCAACAACAACGGGGUGAAAUCUGUCAUAUUUCUAGAUGCCAAGUCAU